rnacentral:lncRNA from 10 species
AUUUCUCAUUAUUAUGGACUCUUGGAUGUCUAUUAAUACUUGAACUCAUGAGGAGUUUGCCACAGUCAUUGCAUUUUUUUUUUUUCCUUUAAGAUGGAGUUUUGCUCUUUUUGCCCAGGAUGGAGUGCAUUGGCACGAUCUUGGCUCACUGCAACCUCCGCCUCCUGGGUUCAAGUGAUUCUCCUGCCUCAGCCUCCUAUAUAGCUGGGAUUACAGGCGCACGCCACCAGGCCUAGCUAAUUGUGUACUUUUAGUAGAAAUGGGGUUUCGCCAUGUUGGUCAGGCUGGUCUUGAACUCCUGACCUCAGGUGAUCCACCUGCCUCGGACUCCCAAAGUGUUGGGAUUACAGGCAUGAGCCACUGCACCCAGCCAGUCAUUGCAUUUUCAAGGAAUCUCUCAGGCAUAAAUUCUCUGACGUUGUCAAAGGAAUGAAUUCUAACUGCAAAAGUUACCACCUUCAUUUGUAAGGUUUCUCUCCACUAUGAAUUCUGUGAUGGCUUGCAAGGUUUGAACUCUGACUUUAGAACUUUCCACACGUUACAUUUGUAAGGUUUCCCACCAGUAUGGAUUGUCUGAUGGGUAGUUAGGCUUGAACAGAUACUAAAGGGUUUCCCACACUCAUAUGGUUUCUCUCCGGUAUGAAUUCUCUGAUGCCUUGCAAGUUUUGAAGUUUGACUAAAGGCUUUGCCACACUCAUUACACUUGUAAGGUUUCUCUCCAGUAUGAAUUCCCCGAUGUCUUGCAAGGUGUGAAUUCUGAGUGAAGACCUUCCCACACUCAUUGCAUUUGUAAGGUUUUUUUCCAGUAUGGAUUGCCUGAUGGGUAGUUAGGCUUGAACGGACACUAAAGGCUUUCCCACACUGAUUACACUCAUAUGGUUUCUCUCCAGUAUGAACUCUCUGAUGCCUUGCAAGCUUUGAUGUUUGACUAAAGGCUUUGCCACAUUCAUUACACUGGUAAGGUUUACCUCCAGUAUGAACUCUCCGAUGUCUUGCAAGGUGUGAAUUCUGAGUGAAGACCUUGCCACACUCAUUACAUUUGUAAGGUUUUUCACCAGUAUGGAUGACCUGAUGGGUAGUUAGGUUUGAAUGUUCACUAAAGGCUUUGCCAUACUCAUUAUACUUGUAAGGUUUUUCUCCAGUAUGGAUGACCUGAUGG